rnacentral:rRNA from 1 species
GUCUAUAGCCGUGCCACCCUGAACAAGCCUGAUCCUGUCUGAUCUCGGAAGCUAAGCAGGGUCAGGCCUGGUUAGUACUUGGAUGGGAGACCACCUAGGAAGACCAGGUGCUGUAGGCA